GGAUAGAUACCCUAGUAUAAUGGAAUUGCUUUUGCAUUAGUAUGAUUGGAGUGGAAUUGAAAUAUUCUGGCGGUUAAUUUUUUAGUUAGAGGAGCUUGUUUGAAUUAAGAAUUUACUCUUUAUAUCUUACUAAUUUUAGGUUAUUCAUCUCCGUUUGGAAGUUUAGAUCAAAAAAGAUUUUAAGCUAAGAUAUCAGGUCAAGAUGUACUUUUAUUAGAAAAAAUUAGCUAUGAUUAGUAUUAAAUUUAUUUAAAUUUUUAAAAAUUUAGAUUAUUAGAUUUAGUUGUAAUUAACAAAUUAGAGUAUUAUUAUGAAAAUUAAGAAUUAAUGUACAUAUUGCCCGUCACUUCUUUAAAGAAAAGAAUAAGUCGUAACAUAUA
rnacentral:rRNA from 1 species